GGAGUUGUGGCUCAGUGGUAGAGCACUUGCCUAGCAUGUGCAAGGUGCUGGGUUUGAUCCUCAGCACCA
rnacentral:tRNA from 1 species